CUUAAUUGGGCGUUAAGUUGCAGGGUAUAGACCCGAAACCCGGUGAUCUAGCCAUGGGCAGGUUGAAGGUUGGGUAACACUAACUGGAGGACCGAACCGACUAAUGUUGAAAAAUUAGCGGAUGACCUGUGGCUGGGGGUGAAAGGCCAAUCAAACCGGGAGAUAGCUGGUUCUCCCCGAAAGCUAUUUAGGUAGCGCCUCGUGAAUUCAUCUCCGGGGGUAGAGCACUGUUUCGGCUAGGGGGCCAUCCCGGCUUACCAACCCGAUGCAAACUGCGAAUACCGGAGAAUGUUAUCACGGGAGACACACGGCGGGUGCUAACGUCCGUCGUGAAGAGGGAAACAACCCAGACCGCCAGCUAAGGUCCCAAAGUCAUGGUUAAGUGGGAAACGAUGUGGGAAGGCCCAGACAGCCAGGAUGUUGGCUUAGAAGCAGCCAUCAUUUAAAGAAAGCGUAAUAGCUCACUGGUCGAGUCGGCCUGCGCGGAAGAUGUAACGGGGCUAAACCAUGCACCGAAGCUGCGGCAGCGACACUCAGGUGUUGUUGGGUAGGGGAGCGUUCUGUAAGCCUGCGAAGGUGGCCUGUGAGGGUUGCUGGAGGUAUCAGAAGUGCGAAUGCUGACAUAAGUAACGAUAAAGCGGGUGAAAAGCCCGCUCGCCGGAAGACCAAGGGUUCCUGUCCAACGUUAAUCGGGGCAGGGU
rnacentral:rRNA from 1 species